CUGCUGAAUAAAUCUAAAAAUGCGUGGUUUGAACAUUUCAAAGUGUUGAACACCUGAGUUUUUGAAAACUGUAUCGAGCCAGCUUAAGUAUGCUCAAGGGUAUGCUUGAGAGGAACUCAAUUUUAAAUUAUUUUUGUUAUAUAUGUAUAUAGUUUAUAUAUAUGGUUUUAAUAGUUUCAUUGUAAAUAUUUUAUAGUCAAUAAAAGUUGUCAUAGUUAUUAAUGUUUUCCUCGACUUGAGACUCCCGGGAAAACAUAGCUAUUUCCCAAGGGAGCAGGCAUUAAGUGUAUAUUAACUUAUUAAUAGUUAGUUAUAUGGUAAAUAAACUUCCACGUUCGUUUCCAUCUAAACUAAUAAUUGGAUCCGAAGUACUUCACAACUGACUGUUGCGGUUGCCUUCCUUAGUCACUCAUUGUGAAAAUUAAGUAAGUAUACGAAUAUAUUUAUCUAUACAGGCGAAGAUAACACAUAAAAUGAAAGAAUAUCUACAGGGUGUAUCCAAAAAGGUAAUCUAAAUUUGACAGGUUAUUGUGUACGUUUAUAGGUUUCCUGUUUUCAUAUUUAUAAAGAUCGUGCUUUUAGCUGUCAAAUGACGCUUUCAUGUGAUCGUUGCAAUAAAAAAGAACAAAUACGAUCUGAUUUAAAGUGAUCGGCUGAAAUUGCAUUUUUCACCUUUAGGACUUAACUGUUCUUCCAAUUGUUGCUCAUUUGGGAAACGUAUGACAUUGCGAGCUCUGCAAACGUCCAGUUUUGCAAAAUCAUUUAAUCACUCGAUUUUGAUGCAAAAUUGCCCAUGCGAGUAGAAAUUUACCAAACUUUGAUUCAAGCGACUUGAAUUUGAAUCCCGAAAGAGGAAAAUGUCAAUACAAUAGCUUUACAUGCAAUUCGCAAAGGUGGAAAUGCGAUUUCGAUCGGCUAUCUAUGAUCGCAAUGAUCCAAGAAAGAUAUCACCCGAGAGUUAAAAGCCUGGGGCCGGUUGUAUAAAAACGUCGAUCGAUUGUUCACUUUAAUUAUGAUUAACGUCAAUUAAUUACUGCAGUUAAAUCCUUAACUAUGAUUAGUUAACUACACGACUUCUCGUCGAUUUCAGUUCACUUUCAAGACGUACGCGGUUGCGAAGUUCGUUCCCAAGUUCCCAAUUACGUUUCGAAGUUCGGAAGGUGGGCGGGAACUUCGCAGCGAACUUCCGAACCACUGUUCCGAACUUCGAAACGAACUUCCGAAGUUCAGUCGACAUAUGGUGUGACAAAUAUAUGAUAUGGCGUACGAAGAACUGACGGAUUUCUUAGGAAAUAUCGAAUAAAAGAUUGUUA